UACAGAGGUCUCAAGCGUUGUUCGGAUUCAUUGGGCGUAAAGGGUGCGUAGGCGGCGAGGCAAGUCGGAUGUGAAAUCUCAGGGCUCAACCCUGAAACUGCAUUCGAUACUGCCUUGCUCGAGGACUGGAGAGGAGAUUGGAAUUCACGGUGUAGCAGUGAAAUGCGUAGAUAUCGUGAGGAACACCAGUGGCGAAGGCGAGUCUCUGGACAUUUCCUGACGCUGAGGCACGAAAGCCAGGGGAGCAAACGGG
rnacentral:rRNA from 1 species